UCCCUACGGGGUGCACCAGGCGCGAAACCUCCGCAAUGUGAGCAAUCGCGACGGGGGGAUCCCAAGUGCCAUUCUUAACGGGAUGGCUUUCUUAAGUGUAAAGAGCUUUGAAUACGUAGCCAA
rnacentral:rRNA from 1 species